CUACAGUAAAUAUAUUAUUAAUAUUAAUAAAUUAGAUUACACACUAUAAAGAUAAGCUAAAGUUUUAAUUUAUAUUACAAGCCCAAAUACUUUUCCUAUUCAACUAGAAACAACCUAAUAAUUAUUUAUUUGGGCCAAGAGUAUGAAGGAAAGGAUGAGGAAGCCCAAGCCCAAUUCCUUAGUAAAUCAGUUAGCUUCUAAUUAGAGUUAAUUUAUCAAUUAGAUAGAUAGAUUCAUUAAGUCAAAUUAGCUACUGGAAGAACACGUAUCCCUCAACUUUCCACGCAGCUUUUCAUAAACCGACUCCAAAUCAUAUAAAAUCUCUCCUCAGGAUUUUUCCUCAUUCUGCAAGAUCUUAAAUACACCGGCAAAAUACCAUCCCAAAUCCGACUCAACCACGAUCAUUUACAAUUCCCAGCAGUUCAUAGCAGCAUCAAGCAAAGCAGGUUAAGCUGUGAUGCAGAUGGAUGUCAGCAGAGCAAAGCUUUUGAUAUAUAAGCACUAAAUUAGGCUCAGGAUUCCAUGUCUUCAUACAUGUAAUCCACUUAAGCUAUUCCGCUGCAACGCUUAGUGCGUUUUACUUUAUUGAUGUGUUGCAAAGAUUUCAAACUAAUAGCUUACAGAAUUAUGUCACUUGAUACUUAGACAACUUGUCGUUAUGUAUUGCGAGUUGUCUGCUUUUGAGUUUUAGAAAAGAUUGUUUAUGAUUACCAAAUAUUUUGGUAAAUUAUUGUUUAAGCAUGUUAGUGAUUUUUAUUGAGAUCUAUUUUCUUUUUU